rnacentral:tRNA from 1 species
CAGGGAGACAACAAAAUGUUUAAUAUUAUAAUUUUGUCACCUUAGGUCGAUCGGUAUCUCACAUCCUUAAAUUUAUUAAGGAUUUCAUUUCCUAAGUUUUUCUAGGUCACACCCAUUUUUUCCUGGGCCAUUAGCUCAGGUGGUUAGAGCGCACCCCUGAUAAGGGUGAGGUCCCUGGUUCAAGUCCAGGAUGGCCCAUAUCUCUAUGUUGGGGGUAUAGCUCAGUUGGUAGAGCGCCUGCUUUGCAAGCAGGAUGUCAGCGGUUCGAGUCCGCUUACCUCCACUGAUUACCACCUCUUCCAUAAUUAUUAAGGAAAUGUUUUGAGUAGUGAUCAAAUUCUGAACGAAUCUAGCCUCCUAAUGAAUUCAUUAAGAUGCUGGACUCAUUGAAUUAAUUUCAUUGUUUUCAGAGAACCUUGACAACUGCAUAGAUUAUUUUUAAAGACAAUAAGCAUCUUUAAUGAUGCAGAUUUAUUAUUUAUGCGAAUGCAUUAAUAACAAUUCUAUUAAGCUGAUGCUUCUAAUUUAUUGAAGUUAUU